rnacentral:rRNA from 1 species
GACGAACGCUGGCGGCGUGCUUAACACAUGCAAGUCGAACGGCACGGCCUGCUUUCCCUUGUGGGUUGCGGGACCUCGAGUGGCGAACGGGUGUGUAACACGUGAGUGAUCUGCCCCCAACUUGGGUCUAAGCCUGGGCAACUGGGUCUAAUUCCCGCUAGGACUGCAGGGUGGUGCCUGUGGUGGCAAACGAUUUUCUUGUGGUUGGGGAUGAGCUAGCGGCCUAUCAGCUUGUUGGUGGGGGAAUGGCCUACUAAGGCGGCGACGGGUAGCCGGCCUGAGAGGGUGGACGGGCACAGUGAGACUGAGAUACGGCCCAGACACCGACGGGAGGCAGCAGUGGGGAAUAGUGGACGAUGUGCGGAAGCCUGAUGCAGCGGCGCCGCGUGGGGGAUGACGGCCUGCGGGUUGGAAACACCUUUCGGCCGCGUGGAAGCCACCUGGUUGGGAGGGUGGUGACGGUAGUGGGAGAAGAAGCACCGGCUAACUACGUG